GAUGAGAACUGAUCUACACAGUGGCAAUUACUCAUUUCAGCUUACAUCCUUAUUGUUGAUCAAAUGAUUCAACUUUUGGAUGACGAAACAGAGGCUUUGGGAGAAGUUGAAUAAUUACUCAUGAUCCCACAGCUGACGUCAAGCUAGAGACUUACACCUAAGCACAUGAAUGCCUGCCUAGAGAUGUUAUUGUCCUGAAGUACUUGCUUCAAUAUAAAUUCCAGCAAUUUCCAGAGCUCUUUUGGUAGUUCAGAGGAUGAGGAAUAAUCACGCAGCACUGGUUACACUCCGUUUGGAAAACGCUUCUGAAGCCAUCUUUCGUGCUGGGAUUGAACACAGAGACUCCUGAAUGCUGACAGUCAUUCUAGCAUCUACUGCCCCCUCAACCCAUGAGAAACCCUUGUAGGACAGCCACAGAAUGACAGAGUCUCAGGAUGCCAUCUCCAAAACAGAACUGGAGAUUGAGUUGGAAGGAGAUCACCACCAAAAACUUCCAGAGACCCAAGAG